UCACCAAGGUAUCCUCGGAAAUAAGGCAAGCCACUGGGGGGAGCCGGCCCUCGGCAACCAACCCCUUCAAGACGGCGACGCCAUCGGAUUCCUCCCUCGACAACCUCGAUAGGCCAAUCGGGGACUUCAUCGGCGUCUCCCAGGUUGCCCUGAUUCCCCAAGAGGGAUCUACGUCAAUGAAAAAGAAACGCUCCUUCCAGCCGUGAAUGGAGGAAGGAGCCUCCUUGACGAGGCCGCACCCUCGCCGCGCCGCAAAGCACCA
rnacentral:lncRNA from 1 species